UCUGCUGGUCUGGCCGAACUUAGCAAGGAGAGAAACACCAAGGAAGAUUUCUUCAUUUCAUCUCCAACUCCAACAAAUAAGUGAGGAAUCAAGCGAAGUAAACCGAUUAAACUUGUUUUCUAGUGACUAGCUAGUGAGUGGUGGUGUGAGUUUUGAAGGGAAGAGCUUGUGCUACUCUUGGUGACUCUUAAUCAAGAUUUGGACUCCCAACCCGGAGUACCACCUCGACGCGAAAACUAGAAGCACUAUUGUGGGGUACGAGUAACGCGAGAGAC